rnacentral:rRNA from 1 species
GACAGUGUCUGGUGGGUAGUUUGACUGGGGCGGUCUCCUCCUAAAGAGUAACGGAGGAGCACGAAGGUUGGCUAAUCCUGGUCGGACAUCAGGAGGUUAGUGCAAUGGCAUAAGCCAGCUUGACUGCGAGCGUGACGGCGCGAGCAGGUGCGAAAGCAGGUCAUAGUGAUCCGGUGGUUCUGAAUGGAAGGGCCAUCGCUCAACGGAUAAAAGGUACUCCGGGGAUAACAGGCUGAUACCGCCCAAGAGUUCAUAUCGACGGCGGUGUUUGGCACCUCGAUGUCGGCUCAUCACAUCCUGGGGCUGAAGUAGGUCCCAAGGGUAUGGCUGUUCGCCAUUUAAAGUGGUACGCGAGCUGGGUUUAGAACGUCGUGAGACAGUUCGGUCCCUAUCUGCCGUGGGCGCUGGAGAACUGAGGGGGGCUGCUCCUAGUACGAGAGGACCGGAGUGGACGCAUCACUGGUGUUCGGGUUGUCAUGCCAAUGGCACUGCCCGGUAGCUAAAUGCGGAAGAGAUAAGUGCUGAAAGCAUCUAAGCACGAAACUUGCCCCG